rnacentral:tRNA from 1 species
GGGAUCUUAGCUCAGCUGGGAGAGCAUCUGCCUUACAAGCAGAGUGUCACUGGUUCGAGCCCUGUAGGUCCCA